GACGAACGCUGGCGGCGUGCUUAACACAUGCAAGUCGAACGGUAAGGCCCUUCGGGGUACACGAGUGGCGAACGGGUGAGUAACACGUGGGUGAUCUGCCCUGCACUUUGGGAUAAGCCUGGGAAACUGGGUCUAAUACCGAAUACACCCUGCUGGUCGCAUGGCCUGGUGGGGGAAAGCUUUUGCGGUGUGGGAUGGGCCCGCGGCCUAUCAGCUUGUUUGUGGGGUGAUGGCCUACCAAGGCGACGACGGGUAGCCGGCCUGAGAGGGUGACCGGCCACACUGGGACUGAGAUACGGCCCAGACUCCUACGGGAGGCAGCAGUGGGGAAUAUUGCACAAUGGGCGCAAGCCUGAUGCAGCGACGCCGCGUGAGGGAUGACGGCCUUCGGGUUGUAAACCUCUUUCAAUAGGGACGAAGCGCAAGUGACGGUACCUAUAGAAGAAGGACCGGCCAACUACGUGCCAGCAGCCGCCGUAA
rnacentral:rRNA from 1 species